AACGAACGCUGGCGGCAUGCCUAACACAUGCAAGUCGAACGAGCCCUUCGGGUCUAGUGGCGCACGGGUGCGUAACGCGUGGGAACCUGCCCUUAGGUUCGGAAUAACUCCCCGAAAGGGGUGCUAAUACCGGAUAAUGUCUUCGGACCAAAGAUUUAUCGCCUUUGGAUGGGCCCGCGUUGGAUUAGCUAGUUGGUAGGGUAAAAGCCUACCAAGGCGACGAUCCAUAGCUGGUCUGAGAGGAUGAUCAGCCACACUGGGACUGAGACACGGCACAGACUCCUACGGGAGGCAGCAGUGGGGAAUAUUGGACAAUGGGCGAAAGCCUGAUCCAGCAAUGCCGCGUGAGUGAUGAAGGCCGUAGGGUUGUAAAGCUCUUUUACCCGGGAUGAUAAUGACAGUACCGGGAGAAUAAGCGCCGGCUAACUCCGUG
rnacentral:rRNA from 1 species